AAAGUUCAAAGCACCAGCACCCAAAGAUGAAUGAAGUUUGGAUUGAGACCAAAGGGUAAAUAGGAAGAGUGAGAAACGGCUGAAACGUGAGGAAGAGGAAGUCUAAGUGGAGGGAAGAGUGAAAAUUGUUAGGGGGGAACUUGAAAAAAAAACACUAACGUUAGUGGGCCGUUUGCUUUUUUCUUAUCCCACAUUUGCUGUCAGUUUGACAGUCAUUAGAUUGCAUUGGGCUGACGUGGCGAGCUCACAUGGUUUUCCAAGCAGAUCCUAGCAAUACUUUUUCUAGUAGAGAAGCAGGAUCCUUUUCUCAAACCCGAUCUGAACCGAGAGAUGCUGCCAUAUCCGCCAACGACCAGCACUCAACGCCAAGACUGCUCUCUCUCUCUCUCUUCUCUUCACCUGCACUGCUGCACGGCCGAGACUGCCGCUUUCACUCUUCUCCUCUGCCAACGCCGUGACUCGAAGACGUGGGGAGGCUAAGAGGACGCGCAGACGCGGAGAGGCAGAGAGAACUCGCAGACGCGGGGAGGCUGAGAGAACGCGCAGACGCGGAGAGGCAGAGGCUCGAAAUCCCGAUCUUGUAUGUUUGCUGAUAAAAUGAGGCUAAAAUGAGGCUGAUCAUGUUUAUGGAAUUGUUGAAUCCUUCAGGUUUCAAUGGACGAAUGACCACUAUGGGUGUAUAUGUGCGUGAUUUGCUACUUGGGCAGAGUUAAGGGCGGCACACGCUGCAGCUGCAGUGGGGACUAUGGUGGUUUUUCAGGUGUAUUUUGCAGUACUAGAUAGAGAGAAAGUUCAAAUGACAAUCAUGAAGCAAACCGAGCAAAUCUGCAAAACUAGGAGAAAAAGCACCACAUGAAAUCAUCAACUUGUGGAAACAGAAUGGCUUCACUAGUUUAAUAAUAGCAGCACCAGAGCUGGAUACGUGGAGUCUAGUUAAAGAGAUGCUGCCACUUCUGUCAAAUUCUGCUCCUUUUGCUAUUUAUCACCAGUAUCUUCAGGUACUUCCAUCAAGAACCCAUCCAUGUAUGCAGAUGAAUGGAUUUGGUGGGUACAUUCUCAGCGGGACCAAGAUAUGUACCAACAACUGAUUGAUUCUAUACAAUAAAGUCGAUAACGAGAGAAUGGAGUUAUUUUGCCAACAAGCAAAGGAAAAAGCAGCUCAUUAUACGAAUAACCACACACUGUGAAUGGUGACUACUUGAGUACUUGUUACAUGGAUGGUAGCUGUUGAAUUGCUGGAUAGAGAACUGGAAAAAGGGCUGCUAAAUUGUUGUAUUUGAAUUAGGACUUUCUAUUUCAAUUGCAUAUUUGUAUUUCAAACUUGGACUUCAUAUUUAAAUUGGGACAUUGUAUUUCAAACUUUCAA